AUUGAACGCUGGCGGCGUGCUUAACACAUGCAAGUCGAACGAAGUGGCGAACGGGUGAGUAACGCGUAAUCAACCUGCCCGUCAGAGGGGGACAACAGUUGGAAACGACUGCUAAUACCGCAUACUGAAGGAGGGGAUUGCGGCGGAUUAGCUAGUGGGAGGGGGAACGGCCCACCAGGGCGAUGAUCAGUAGCCGGUCUGAGAGGAUGAGGGGCCAAAUUGGGACUGCGACACGGCCCAGACGCCUACGGGAGGCAGCAGUGGGGAUGCCUCCGCAAUGGAGGAAGGUCUUGCGGUGCAACGCGGCGUGAGUGAUGACGGCCUUCGGGUUGUAAAGCUCUGUUAAUCGGGACGCGGUACCGGAAGAGAAAGCCACGGCUAACUACGUGCCAGCAGCCGCGGUAAUAC
rnacentral:rRNA from 1 species